ACCAAACUUUUCAGCGGGCAAACCUCCAGCUGGUGACUACCGCCCACUGAUGAGGCAACUAUUUGCUCGCUGAGAAAAGUUACUGUAUCAAGACCCCUUCCGCUGCAGAGGAUUCAACCUAACACUUCACAAAGAUGCCUCUUAUCAGAGACCCGAUUACUUGCACUAUAUACACCUGACUUUGGGAGCCCACCUGAAUCACUGCCCCUGGAAAUGAAA